rnacentral:rRNA from 1 species
UACGUAGGGUGCAGGCGUUAAUCGGAAUUACUGGGCGUAAAGCGUGCGCAGGCGGCUCCUUAAGUCAGAUGUGAAAUCCCCGGGCUCAACCUGGGAAUGGCGAUGGUGACUGCAAGGCUAGAGUUUGGCAGAGGGGGGUAGAAUUCCACGUGUAGCAGUGAAAUGCGUAGAUAUGUGGAGGAACACCGAUGGCGAAGGCAGCCCCCCUGGGUCAAAACUGACGCUCAUGCACGAAAGCGUGGGGAGCAAACCAGGA